UUGCAACAACAUGUCUACAUGGUCUACAAAAUUAUAAUGUAUUCUCAUGUAAACUUUUUACGUCAGCACAGACAUCUUUUCAAAUUUCUUAGCCAGUGUAUCCCACCAUAAUAGUUAUUAUAUUGCCAGAUUACAGACAAUCCCAUUUAUUUAUAUAUAUCCAAUUUACAAAUAUGAAUAGGCCUAUAUAUUUCUACUGGUAUGCUUCCUAGUGACAUUAAUGCAAAAAAAUAUGAAGAAAAAACAAUUCCACCUAUGUGUGCAUGGUUAAAAUUCUGAAGUGCAAACUAGUUCAGGUUACAGCACAAAUAUUUCCAUCCAUAGAUAAGAAUAAUCAAGUCUAACCUCUGAAUUUCUUUUCAAAGUGCUACCAGAUUGAUGCAUUUAAACAGCACCUUUAAAAUAGACAACAUAUUCUUACAGGGAAGCAUGCCCAUAGACGGGGGCUCGUGCCCCAGUGCAGCUCUAGUUCUUGUGAUGCCCCUGGGGCAGUAUCCCCGUUUUAAGUUUUACAAAGAUAAAAACAUAACCUGUUUUGGAGGUAUUUAUGCUUCUGAGCUGAAAAUGUCCCCAGAUUUUGUCUGAUAAAGCUUGUCACCUUACCCUACAUCCCUGUG